rnacentral:ncRNA from 1 species
AUUGAAGGAGCAGCAAGCCUUGACUUGAGAUUCUCUUAGUCAAGCUAUCUCACUCUAACGGUGUACCUUUUUCAUGAUGGGUCAGCGAGAAAAUAGGAACUGCGGCUUCAGCCAUUAGGUGUAGGCACUUUUCAGAGGUGGAAGAUUCUCAUUCUUCUUAUUUGACGCGAAACUGAUCGAUCUAGCCAUGAGUAGGUUGAAGAGAGCUCUAACAGGCCUUGGAGGACCGAACCCACGUAUGUGGCAAAGUACGGGGAUGACUUGUGGCUAGGGGUAAAAGGCCAACCAAGAUUGGAUAUAGCUGGUUUUCUGCGAAAUCUAUUUCAGUAGAGCGUAUGACGGAGGUAGAGCACUCAAUGGGCUAGGGUGGCCUCAUUUCGCCUUACCAGCCCUAGGGAAACUUUGAAUACAGGCCUAGAUCAUUUGUACAGACAGAAUUUUGGGGUGCUAAGAUCUAAAUUCGAGAGGGAAACAUCCUAGAUCGUACGCUAAGGUCCCUAAUCAAUCACUUAAUGGAAAAGGAAGUUCUCAAGCGAUGACAACUAGGAGGUGGGCUUGGAAGCAACCAUCCUUUGAAGAAAGCGUAAUAGCUCACUGGUCUAGCUCCAUGGCACCGAAAAUGUCUUGAAGCCUUUAGUUUUGAGUCGAGUUAUUUCAUUGAUGCACUCUUUCGAAGAAUAAGGAAUUCACUUUCAAAUUCUAAGAUAAUUCUUUGAUCCUUUAUGUUUGGAGUCGAGUUCUUUCAUAAUGGAC